AUGGCGAAGGAGCGUGCAGAGAUGGAGAAUUGGCAAGUAGUCAAAAACCUCGGUGCUAUUUUUUCUCAUGCAUUUUUGCGUAAGGCAGCAGAAGAGCAACGCGCACGUAGACCUGGGCCCGAUCUCAUCAGUGGUCGUGUCAUCGACCGUCUCACCGAUUGCCAUCCCCUCGCCAUUUCCCAUGAGUGUCGAUCUGUACACACCGGUACUGAUACACGUGUAGAGGGCAGGGGGCGUGGUUGCUCCAUCCUUUUCUUUAAGCCCAGAACCGUAGAACGAUACGGGCAUGGCGCCAUCACCGGCGAGGGCCUGUCCUUCACCGCCGAGACCAUGACACCCCAUCCUUCGCCGCCGGAGAUCAUGGCACCCCACCCUUCAGACCAUGUGGUGCCGCCACCCCUCCUCUCUAUUGCUCUUGUCGCUCCUCUGUACCCUCCCAUACCCCCGCAGGUCAUGCUACGCUCGCCUCCGAGGCCACAACCUUCUCUGUCGGAGUUCAUGGAGACGCUCCCUACAGACCGUGUCGCUCCUCUGUCUCCUGCCAUGCCCCCUCCUCCUCGUAUCUGUACAGAUAUCGAGCCGAAGUUAGCGUGUGAUAUUGCUUUGCAAAACCAUGAAUGCACUGAUGAACGACACCGUGAUAUGGAAAUACGUCCUCCCCCGAUCAUACUUGAGAACUUCAGCACCCUUAAAAAGAGAGCUACUAGCGGCCCAUUUUGUGGUUCAACAUGUACUCCCGAUUGUGAUGAUAACUUAAAACCAGCCUUGGGUAUGACAUUUGAUAGUAUGGAAGAUGUUGAGAAUUUUUACAAGGCUUAUGCACACAAUGUUGGAUUUUCAGUCAGAAUUGGGCAGAAAAAGACCAUAGAUGAUGUGGUGGUCUGGAGGAGAUUUCUUUGUUCGAAAGAAGGUUUCCGAACGAAGAAGGAGGAGGAACGCAAGAAGGAUUUCAAGGGAGGGAAGAUAAGAACACAUGCAAGAAAGAUUACUAGAUGUGGUUGUGAAGCCAUGAUAACUGUCAAGCGUAUGCAGGAUGGCAAAUACUCAAUAUCAGAUUUUCACGAAGAACACACCCAUCAAUUUAUCACACUCACCAAGCAACAUUUAAUCAAGUCUAAUAGAGAAGUCAGCGAGAAGGCCAAGACCACAUUAUUCACAUGUCACGCAGCUAGUAUUGGCACAUCUGGAGCCUUUCGAUUGCUUCGUGUUGGUGAGGGUGGAUUUCAGUUUGUGGGGUGCACGAAGAGAGACUUGCAGAAUUAUCACCGUGGGAUGAGAAGUACUUUCAAGGAUACAGAUGCUCAAAUGUUUAUUGACAACCUCAGAAAGAGGAAGCAAAUCAACCCAGGAUUCUUCUUUGAGUAUGUUCUUGAUGAUAAAAAUCAAUUGAAACGUGUGUUUCGGGCAGAUGCAUUUUGUAGAAAGAAUUAUGCUUUAUUUGGAGAAAUGGUGUCUUUUGACUCCACAUACAGCACAAAUCAGUACAAGAUGGUUUUUUGUCCAUUCACGGGAAUAAACCACCAUAUGGGAUCUGUUGUGCAAGAUGGAAAAUCAAAGCUUAAGCGUUAUGUACUGGGCGUUACCACUUUGUUUUAA
rnacentral:rRNA from 1 species